GGGGGGGGGGGGGGGGGGGGGGGGGGCGGGGGGGGCGGGGGGGGGGGCGGUGCUGGUGUGGGGUGCUCGCGUGGCGCAGGGGGGGGUGACACGUGCGUAGCCUGCCCUUGACUUUGUGCGAACUUCAGGAAACUGGGGCUCAUACCGGAUAGGAGCUCCUGCUGCAGGGUGGGGGGUGGAACGUUUCGGCGGUUGGGGAUGGACUCGCGGCUUAUCCGCUUGUUGGUGGGGUAGUGGCUUACCAAGGCUUUGACGGGUAGCCGGCCUGAGAGGGUGACCGGCCACAUUGGGACUGAGAUACGGCCCAGACUCCUACGGGAGGCAGCAGUGGGGAAUAUUGCACAAUGGGCGGAAGCCUGAUGCAGCAACGCCGCGUGCGGGAUGACGGCCUUCGGGUUGUAAACCGCUUUCGCCUGUGACGAAGCGUGGGUGACGGUAAUGGGUAAAGAAGCACCGGCUAACUACGUG
rnacentral:rRNA from 1 species